CCUACGGGAGGCAGCAGUGAGGAAUAUUGGUCAAUGGGCGGAAGCCUGAACCAGCCAAGUAGCGUGCAGGAUGACGGCCCUACGGGUUGUAAACUGCUUUUAUACGUGAAUAACGCGCCUUACGUGUAGGGCUUUGCAUGUACCGUAUGAAUAAGGACAGGCUCAUUCCGUCCCAGCAGCCGCGGUAUUACGGAAGGUCCUGGCGUUAUCCGGAUUUCUUGGGUUUAGAGGGACCGUGGGCGGAAUGCCAAGUCAGCGGUAAAAUCGCGGGGCUAAACCUCGCUCCGCCUUUGAAACUGGCGUUCUUGAGUGGGGGAGAGGUAUGCGGAAGGCGUGGUGUAGCGGUGAAAUGCAUAGAUAUCACGCAGAAC
rnacentral:rRNA from 1 species